GAUGAAGAACGUAGCGAAAUGCGAUAAGUAAUGUGAAUUGCAGAAUUCAGUGAAUCAUCGAAUCUUUGAACGCACAUUGCGCCCGCUGGUAUUCCGGCGGGCAUGCCUGUUCGAGCGUCAUUUCAACCCUCAAGCUCUCCGGAGUUUGGUGUUGGGGCGCCUGGGGCUUUUCGACCUCAGGGCCCUCAAGUCCAUCGGCGGGACCGCCAGGACACUGAGCGCAGUAGUAUUAUUUCGCUCGGUAGGAUCUUCCACGGCGGGUCGAUCUGGCCGCUAAACCCCCCAAUUCUCACCAAAGGUUGACCUCGGAUCAGGUAGGAAUACCCGCUGAACUUAGGCAUAUCAAUAAGCGGAGGA
rnacentral:misc_RNA from 1 species